rnacentral:lncRNA from 10 species
UGAUGCAAUCUUUGCAUCCUAUCAGACACUGACUGAUGCCCAGAGAAUGCUAGGAUUGUGGGAACUGGCAGUACCAACAAGAGAUGAACUUCAUGGGAAAUCAGUGCCCACUGCCUUUGCCCUCUCAGCACUCAUCAGAUAAGCUGCUCUUCAAAUGUUAUGAAGGUACAUGGUGAGACAUUAAGAAACUGAAUGUCAUUUUGCCUUUUUAAAAAAGAAAUACUUGUAGAAAAUGGGAGCAAAAGUUACUGGGACGACCAA